rnacentral:rRNA from 1 species
GAUGAACGCUAGCUACAGGCUUAACACAUGCAAGUCGAGGGGAAACGACAUCGAAAGCUUGCUUUUGAUGGGCGUCGACCGGCGCACGGGUGAGUAACGCGUAUCCAACCUGCCCACCACUUGGGGAUAACCCUUGCGAAAGGUAAGACUAAUACCCAAUGAUAUCUCUAGAAGACAUCUGAAAGAGAUUAAAGAUUUAUCGGUGAUGGAUGGGGAUGCGUCUGAUUAGCUUGUUGGCGGGGUAACGGCCCACCAAGGCGACGAUCAGUAGGGGUUCUGAGAGGAAGGUCCCCCACAUUGGAACUGAGACACGGUCCAAACUCCUACGGGAGGCAGCAGUGAGGAAUAUUGGUCAAUGGGCGAGAGCCUGGAACCAGCCAAGUAGCGUGGCAGGAUGACGGCCCUAUGGGGUUGUAAACUGCUUUUAUAAGGGAAUAAACGUGAGACCUCGUGAGGCUUUUUGCAUGUACCUUAUGAAUAAGGACCGGCUAAUUCCGUGCCAGCAGCCG